rnacentral:lncRNA from 1 species
GAUUUAACUGGUUUUGUAAGCCCUUAUAUAGUGUAAAUUUGUAAAUUUUUUUGGGACCAUCUUUGUUAGUUGCAUUAUUUCCUAGCCAAUAUGACAUCAAUUGAUUUUUUUCUUCCCUGUCCGCUUUCCGGGAAUUGCCUUCCUAACUUGUGCAAAGAUGUCCCCAAAGGCAUUCUUUUCUGUUAGUUUUAAAUUCGUGAAUUGUGUUGACUUGAAUUAGAAGAGAUAUAGACUUGGAAGGGGAAAAAAAACAAGAAGGGAUCAAUAUAGGAGGAGAAUGUCUUUCUCCAGCAUACGAGUUAGUCGCUUCGUAUUGCCAGUAUACUCUGUUCAUUUCUGAAGAAAUUGUCGAGGAUCAACUUUGCUGUUCACCCGGACCAACCUACUGAAGAUGGCUUGUUUUGGCGUCCUCGUUGCUUCCCAAGUACGCUUGAAAGCACAUGGCCUGGUAUGCCUUAAUUGCAUUGCAUCCUGAUCUACUGUUCAUGCAUGUUCUUUGCCUAAACUCCAUUCACUUCCCAUUUUUCUAUGCCUUGUAUGUUGUGCAAGUUGCAUUGUCUUUCAUGUGGGGUCUCGUUCAUUCUUCCGCCGUAAAGAUCCAUUAUUAUGAACAUUAGCUCACAUGGUUAGAUUUGCUUUGAAAUUGGCUGUAUAGUUGAAUCUUGUUAAGCAAGAUCUACAGGGCGCUUCCUUUGCCCAGUUUUCAGUCCCAACUCAAGGGAGACUUUUAUUCAUAAUUGUAUUAGUCUGUUGAUUCCUCCAAAACACAGUGAAUUAAAAGUGACCUUGGGUUUAGGUUUGUAUAUCCAUCACCAUGAAACAUCAACAUUUUGAAUGAUGAUUCUGAUAAAGAUAUUUUGAUGUAGAUUACAGCAAUGCAUCGCUACCCCUGGACAAGCUUGGUGGCUCCUUGUUCACUUUAGUGGCACUUGAGCCAGCUUGAUUUCCCUGUUCCCCUAAUAUCCAUCGAGGUACCAAAUGCUCCACUGAAAUUAAUCACCCAAAAAAAAAGAGCAUUCAAGAUAACUUCUCUAUUGCCCUGCAGCCACUACCUAGCAUAUUUUAUCAAGGGGGUAGGAGCUAGAUCUGGAGCGAGUGAAUUUCAUUUUUAGUGUUAAUCUAUGAAGGUCUUUUCUUUUCAACUAUUAUAUAGAAAGGCAGAAGCUGUUAAAAAUGAAGUUGGUUGUGUUAAACAACCUUUUUAUGACCAUUAAAUCUUCCCCAUUUUUAAAAGAGUGCAGAGUGAACACAAGAUAUUUCUGUUCAUGGGUGCUAAUCUUUGUUUUAUCGCUUUAUAUUUAAAAAAUGAAUUGAAUUAAUUUUUUUUUUUUAACUUUUUGAUUUAAUUUUUUUUAAAGAGGUGACUUCAAAAACAAAUAAUAAUAAUAAUACAGAGGUUGUGAUGAUGGAGAAGUUUAAGGGUUGGUUUUGAAUUUUUCUAUAAAUGUUUGGAGAAAGUUUAUGGAAAUUAGGAUCUCAUAUUCUGAGUAAUUUGCCCCGCACUAGAGAAGUUAACAGAAUAUAACAUCUGUUAACUCUAGUUCUGUUAGGUUUUUAUUUUAAUAUAUAUAUAUUUAAUUUAAAAUGACUCAUUGGAAUGGGUUUGGUUGACUAUUAAAUAUUAAAAGCCUUUCCCAUUUCAAAAUUUCUCAUACUCAUCAAUUUAAUAGCUAAAAUGACAGUUGAUGUACAGCUGAAUAUAUGCUGUGUAUAUAAUAAUAGCUCUGGAAAAAAGAAUUUAAACUAAAGUCUUACGUUUAAAUAUAUAUAUAUAUAUAUAUAUAUAUAUAUAUAUAUUACAUUAAAAAUUAAUGAGCAUUGGAAUCACUUUUGAUCAACUUAUUUUGUGCUUUCUUAAUUCUUAAACUUAAAAAAUAUAUAUAUAUAUAUAUAUAUAUUUUUUUUUUUUUAAAAUUUUUAUGCCACUAAAAUGGCCGAAGAUAGUGAGAUCCGGUCCUUUAUUAGAGGAAUUUUCAGUUGACGGAUGAAGAGCUGUCAUGUGAUAGCCUUUUAAAAAAGCAAACAAUUAAACAAAAUUGAUAUGGGCUCCUCCAAAGUGGUACUUCGGAUUCACAAUUAGUCCCUUUUUGAAAGACACUCACUCUGUUUGCUGCAGAGCCUGUGACUUUCCAAAGUAGAACUUAAGAAAUGAAGAUGUUUUAAAGCCAUACUCUUGCCGUGUUCUUUCUUAUCGCGUUUCGUUUGCUACUUUUCUUCAUAAUUUGAUGGCUUCUGGGAAUCAAUCUACUUAUUCUUCUUUUAUUUCAACAUAAAAAAAAACUCUCAUAGAAAUUUAUUUCAAAUAAAUUUUCAACUUCAUCUUCUUCUUCUCACAGAAAUAGGAAGAGGUGGGAUGCUCUGUUCAUGUCUGAAAAAGUUUUCUGGAUCAACUUUGGUCUUCACUCUUACCAAUCUGUUGAAAUUGUGCUUAAAGUACUUGUUCCCCCAA